rnacentral:lncRNA from 1 species
AAAGAAAGCGAUAAAUGUAUGAAGAGGAAAAAAGGAUAUGAACAGACACACAGAGGUGAGAGGGACAUUGAAGGAAUUAGAAAAAAUGAGGAAAAGUGAGGGGGCAAAAAACACAAAAGCGAUAUAGAAAGUACCAGCACACGUUUAGGAGAUAAGUCUUGUUCCUUCUCUUUUUUCGUUUUCUCUUUUUUUUCGUCCUUUUCCCUUGAUUUUGACCCCUACUGGUCCCCCCUUCUCUUCUCUCCCUCUAAUGUUUCUUGGUAGUGCCGGUACUCUCUCUCCUACCUCUCUUGCUCUCCCACAGAACAUGCUCUCCAUUUUCUCACUCUUUUUUUCUGCUGUCCCCUUUCAUCUGUCCAUUCCGUGAGCGUUUUCUUCUUUUCUUCGUCCUCUCUUCCAGAAUGGCAUAAAGUACUCUGUAGCCACUUAUUGUGGAUACCUGGUGAGACGACACACACACAGUUAUAUUAGCUGUGUGAGUGAACCUUUCCGCAUCUGAACUGGCUGACACAGAGGGCACAGCAUGAUCAUAGGUAGGUUUUGAUGUGAGAGAGGAAGCCAGUCCCGUCAUCGCCACCUCACCCACUCUUAAGAUAACCUUUGGGCCGACUGGGGGCCCAAGGCUGGUUAGGAGACACCGCUAGAGACACUAUGUAAUUGUGAUGAACUGAGAGAAUAAUAGGGUAGCAUUGUAAUUCAUUAAUCAUAUGCUGUCUUUCCUGCUCCUCUGUUUUACUUCUUUCCUUUUCUGUCUUCUACACCACUCUCCCCACCUCCUUUUUGUUCCUCUUUUUUUAUAAUGCACACCAUAUGUGCAUUGAAGUACAGCUUUAACUUGUAUUUAUAAUAUAAUAUUACAAUUCUAAUAUUUAUAAUGCAUGUAUUAUGUAUUUAUAACACCUGGAUAAUGAACUUUGAAUAAAGCGUUUCACAUUUCAACUGGUAGAAAUGAAGUAUCUCAUUGGAAUACUAUACCUAUCCUGUGUCCUCAGAUUAAUGUAGAUGAAGGGA